ACGUACACUCCUGCGGGAGGCAGCAGUGGGGAAUAUUGCACAAUGGGCGCAAGCCUGAUGCAGCCAUGCCGCGUGUAUGAAGAAGGCCUUCGGGUUGUAAAGUACUUUCAGCGGGGAGGAAGGCGAUAAGGUUAAUAACCUUGUUGAUUGACGUUACCCGCAGAAGAAGCACCGGCUAACUCCGUGCCAGCAGCCGCGGUAAUACGGAGGGUGCAAGCGUUAAUCGGAAUUACUGGGCGUAAAGCGCACGCAGGCGGUCUGUCAAGUCGGAUGUGAAAUCCCCGGGCUCAACCUGGGAACUGCAUUCGAAACUGGCAGGCUAGAGUCUUGUAGAGGGGGGUAGAAUGCCAGGUGUAGCGGUGAAAUGCGUAGAGAUCUGGAGGAAUACCGGUGGCGAAGGCGGCCCCCUGGACAAAGACUGACGCUCAGGUGCGAAAGCGUGGGGAGCAAACAGGAUUAGAUACCCGAGUAGUCCCAUGA
rnacentral:rRNA from 1 species